rnacentral:misc_RNA from 1 species
CGAAAUGCGAUAAGUAAUGUGAAUUGCAGAAUUCAGUGAAUCAUCGAAUCUUUGAACGCACCUUGCGCUCCUUGGUAUUCCUUGGAGCAUGCCUGUUUGAGUAUCAUGAAAUCUUCAAAGUAAAUCUUUUGUUAACUCAAUUGGUUUCUACUUUGGUAUUGGAGGUCUUUGCAGCUUCACACCUGCUCCUCUUUGUUCAUUAGCUGGAUCUCAGUGUUAUGCUUGGUUCCACUCGGCGUGAUAAGUUAUCUAUCGCUGAGGACACUGUAAAAGGUGGCCAAGGUAAAUGCAGAUGAACCGCUUCUAAUAGUCCAUUGACUUGGACAAUACUUUUAUGAUCUGAUCUCAAAUCGGGUAGGACUACCCGCUGAACUUAAGC